UCCUCGGUAGCUCAGCUGGAUAGAGUGUCUGCUUUGUAAGCAGGAGAGCCCGGGUUCGAGUCCCGGUCGGGGCA